rnacentral:rRNA from 1 species
GACGAACGCUGGCGGCGUGCCUAACACAUGCAAGUCGAACGAGGUCCAUCCUUCGGGAGAAGACCUAGUGGCGAACGGGUGAGUAACACGUGAAGAACCUGCCCCGAAGACCGGGAUAACCCUCCGAAAGGAGAGCUAAUACCGGAUACCCCCACCGAACCGCAUGGUUUGGUGAGGAAAUGGAUUCCGCUUCGGGAGGGCUUCGCGGCCUAUCAGCUAGUUGGUGGGGUAACGGCCCACCAAGGCAUCGACGGGUAGCUGGUCUGAGAGGACGAUCAGCCACACUGGGACUGAGACACGGCCCAGACUCCUACGGGAGGCAGCAGUGGGGGAAUCUUGCGCAAUGGGCGAAAGCCUGACGCAGCAACGCCGCGUGGGGGAUGAAGGGCUCUCGGGUUGUAAACCCCUUUCAGCAGGGACGAAUCAAGACGGUACCUGCAGAAGAAGCCCCGGCUAACUACGUGCCAGCAGCCGCG